rnacentral:rRNA from 1 species
AUUGAACGCUGGCGGCAUGCUUUACACAUGCAAGUCGAACGGCAGCGCGGGCUUCGGCCUGGCGGCGAGUGGCGAACGGGUGAGUAAUGCAUCGGAACGUGCCCAGUAGUGGGGGAUAGCCCGGCGAAAGCCGGAUUAAUACCGCAUACGACCUGAGGGUGAAAGCGGGGGACCGAAAGGCCUCGCGCUAUUGGAGCGGCCGAUGUCGGAUUAGCUAGUUGGUGGGGUAAAGGCUUACCAAGGCGACGAUCCGUAGCUGGUCUGAGAGGACGACCAGCCACACUGGGACUGAGACACGGCCCAGAAUCCUACGGGAGGCAGCAGUGGGGAAUUUUGGACAAUGGGGGCAACCCUGAUCCAGCCAUGCCGCGUGCGGGAAGAAGGCCUUCGGGUUGUAAACCGCUUUUGUUCGGGAAGAAAUCCUCUGGGCUAAUACCCCGGGGGGAUGACGGUACCGGAAGAAUAAGCACCGGCUAACUACGUG